rnacentral:misc_RNA from 1 species
UUAAUUCUCGUUUUUGAUUCAGACAAAUGCUUUGUUGCAUAAAUGUGGCGACUCGGCGCCAAAGCACAUCUUGCUUCCACAGGUUUGAAGUUGAAGGCCAAAAGCCAUUCAUUAAUGAUCCCUCCGCAGGUUCACCUACGGAGA